rnacentral:rRNA from 1 species
CCUACGUGAGGCAGCAGUGGGGACUAUUGCACAAUGGGGGAAACCCUGAUGCAGCGACGCCGCGUGAGUGAAGAAGUAAUUCGUUAUGUAAAGCUCUAUCAGCAGGGAAGAAAAUGACGGUACCUGAGUAAGAAGCCCCGGCUAACUACGUGCCAGCAGCCGCGGUAAUACGUAGGGGGCAAGCGUUAUCCGGAUUUACUGGGUGUAAAGGGAGCGUAGACGGCAGUGCAAGUCUGGAGUGAAAGGCGGGGGCUCAACCCCCGGACUGCUCUGGAAACUGUACGGCUGGAGUGCAGGAGAGGUAAGUGGAAUUCCUAGUGUAGCGGUGAAAUGCGUAGAUAUUAGGAGGAACACCAGUGGCGAAGGCGGCUUACUGGACUGUAACUGACGUUGAGGCUCGAAAGCGUGGGGAGCAAACAGGAUUAGAUACCCGAGUAGUC